CAGCAGCCACGGGAAUACGAAGGUGGCUAGCGUUGUUCGGAUUUACUGGGCGUAAAGGGCGCGUAGGCGGACUGAUAAGUCAGGGGUGAAAUCCCAAGGCUCAACCUUGGAACUGCCUUUGAUACUGUUUGUCUUGAGUUCGAGAGAGGUAAGUGGAACUGCGAGUGUAGAGGUGAAAUUCGUAGAUAUUCGCAAGAACACCAGUGGCGAAGGCGGCUUACUGGCUCGAAACUGACGCUGAGGCGCGAAAGCGUGGGAGCAAACAGGAUUAGAUACCCCGGUAGUCCCUGUCUCUUAUACC
rnacentral:rRNA from 1 species